GAGGUACUCCCUCCGUCCGAAAAAGCUUGUCCCUCCAAUGGAUGUAUCUAGCACCAAGUUAGUGCUAGAUACAUCCAUUUGAGAAAGAAGCUUGGGACAAGUUUUUCCGGACGGAGGGAGUAGUAG
rnacentral:pre_miRNA from 1 species